GCAUCAAUGGGGUAGUGGUAACCUUGGUCGUUGCCAUCGACCAGCCGCGAGUUCAAUUCUUGCUUGAUGCA
rnacentral:tRNA from 1 species